GAGGGCACAGCUCAAGUGGUAGAGCGCAUGCUUGGCACGCGUGAGGUCCGGGGUUCAAUCCCCAGUACCUCCU
rnacentral:tRNA from 1 species